rnacentral:rRNA from 1 species
UAGGGAAUAUUGGACAAUGGGGGCAACCCUGAUCCAGCCAUGCCGCGUGAGUGAAGAAGGCCCUCGGGUUGUAAAGCUCUUUUGUCCGGAAAGAAAAGCUUCGGGUUAAUACCCCGGGGUUCUGACGGUACCGGAAGAAUAAGCACCGGCUAACUUCGUGCCAGCAGCCGCGGUAAUACGGAGGGUGCAAGCGUUACUCGGAAUUACUGGGCGUAAAGCGUGCGUAGGUGGUUGUUUAAGUCUGAUGUGAAAGCCCUGUGCUCAACCUGGGAAUGGCAUUGGAAACUGGGCAGCUAGAGUGCGGUAGAGNGUAGUGGAAUUCCCGGUGUAGCAGUGAAAUGCGUAGAGAUCGGGAGGAACAUCUGUGGCGAAGGCGACUGCCUGGACCAGCACUGACACUGAGGCACGAAAGCGUGGGGA